CGGCGCUGGUAGAGCCUUGCUUCUGUGACGGUUGGGAACCUCUCUCUGACCUCGUUUAGGAUUUGGGUGCUGAAAACGCAAGCCCAGCGAGGCACCAUCUUUGAAAAUAUGGGACGCCCACAUAAAAGUGUCCUGGAACACAUGCAUCCACAGAAAGGCAGACCUUGAAUCACAUGUGUUUUUGUACCCCUCUGAGGGCCCAGCAUCCGGAGACCAUGUUGUUAGAGAUAAAAAAAUGUGUCUUGUUCACAAGAGCAACUUUAGCACUCAGGUCUGUACUGAAAACUUACUACAUGCUCAAAAAACCAUGCUAAAUGAAUGGAUGGCCAGAAGAAAAAGCUAAGUUAUUUCUACCACCACCUUCCUUCUCAUUUCUAAAGUGAUUUAGUUCUAUUUUGAAAAAGAAUUAAAUUUUUGAACUCAGUG